AUUGAACGCUGGCGGCAGGCCUAACACAUGCAAGUCGAACGAGUGGCGGACGGGUGAGUAAUGUAUGGGAAACUGCCUGAUGGAGGGGGCUAACUACUGGAAACGGUAGCUAAUACCGCAUACCAUCAGAUGUGCCAAGAUGGGAUUAGCUAGUUGGUGGGGGAACGUCUCACCAAGGCGACGAUCCCUCGCUGGUCUGCGAGGAUGACCAGCCACACUGGAACGUAGACACGGUCCAGACUCCUACGGGAGGCGGCAGUGGGGAAUAUUGCACAAUGGGCGCAAGCCUGAUGCAGCCAUGCCGCGUGUAUGAAGAAGGCCUUCGGGUUGUAAAGUACUUUCAGCGGGGAGGCGUUACCCGCAGAAGAAGCACCGGAUAACUCCGUGCCAGCAGCCGCGGUAAUUC
rnacentral:rRNA from 1 species